GGAGAGAUGGCCGAGUCCGGUUGAAGGCGCACGACUCGAAAUCGUGUGUGUCGCAAGGCACCGUGGGUUCGAAUCCCACUCUCUCCGCCA
rnacentral:tRNA from 1 species